rnacentral:rRNA from 1 species
UACGUAGGGGGCGAGCGUUGUCCGGAAUUAUUGGGCGUAAAGGGCGCGUAGGCGGCCCGGUAAGUCAAAGGUGAAAUCCCUCGGCUCAACUGAGGAACUGCCUUUGAAACUGUCGGGCUUGAGGCCGGGAGGGGGUAGCGGAAUUCCCAGUGUAGCGGUGAAAUGCGUAGAUAUUGGGAGGAACACCGGUGGCGAAGGCGGCUACCUGGACCGGUUCUGACGCUGAUGCGCGAAAGCGUGGGUAGCAAACAGG